rnacentral:rRNA from 1 species
GAUCCUGGCUCAGGAUGAACGCUAGCUACAGGCCUAACACAUGCAAGUCGAGGGGAAACGACAUCGAAAGCUUGCUUUUGAUGGGCGUCGACCGGCGCACGGGUGAGUAACGCGUAUCCAACCUGCCCAUCACUUGGGAAUAACCUUGCGAAAGUAAGACUAAUGCCCAAUGAUAUCCCACGAAGGCAUCCGAAUGGGAUUAAAGGUUUAUCGGUGAUGGAUGGGGAUGCGUCUGAUUAG